rnacentral:tRNA from 1 species
GCUCACUUGGUGAAAUAGGUAAACACGGCAGAUUCAAAACCUGCUCCUUUUUGGGUAUCGGUUCAAGUCCGAUAGUGAGCACC